rnacentral:tRNA from 1 species
GCGUGCGUCGUAUAAUGGCUAUUACCUCAGCCUUCCAAGCUGAUGACGCGGGUUCGAUUCCCGCCGCACGCUCCA